GGCACUUUUAUCUGUUUACCUUUGGCCAUCUACUGUGCAGAGAGAGACGCCCCAAAGAUCAGGACUAAACUUGGUUAGAUGGGGAAUGUACUUUGCAACCUGGAAAAGAUCUGAAAUAUUUUUUGUCUGAGUUUGCCGAAAAGAAAAUGUGCUCACUUUCGGAACAGCUCACGGUCCAUCAUGACUUCACCGGCCGAUUCCUGGAUAGCUUUGCGAAUCUUUUCCAUGCAGUCGCGCAAUCUGGGGUCAGAGGUCAGAAGGCCGGUGCUUUUCACUGCCUGUUAGAUAGGGAAAAUACUGUUCUGUAAUUUCACAACAAUUCUGUUUACUUUGUGUAAUGCACUGAAUUUGUCAUGCAAACUUUAUUUAAACAGUAAUGUUUAUCAAAAUUACUCUAAAUAUACAAAAAUAAAAAAAUGAUAAGAAA